ACGGCUUCUCCUUCAUUCCAGGGCUUUGCUGAUUUCAGGCAAUCUAGGGUUUUGUAAGUGGAGAUUCUGGCGAUAUAGGGCUUAAACAAGCUAGGGUUUUGAUGUCGAAGGCACCAAGGGAUCCACAGAUUUGAACAAGGGAUCCACAUAUUUGCUGGAGAAUGGCCGGAAUCAGGUGACUGUCUGUCCAUGAAUCUCUCUGGAAUCAUGUUUCAGAUGAAGGAGUCUUUGCAAGGAGAGGGUAUAAUAUCGAGUCACUUGCUGUUGGUCAAAGUUGUAUCACAACAGAG